GCCCGGAUGGUCUAGCGGUAUGAUUCUCGCUUAGGGUUCAACCCUGAGUCUAAAAUGCGAGAGGUCCCCGGUUCAAUCCCGGGUUCGGGCC